AAAAUCCAUAGCAUCCAUCACUAGAGUUUCCAGGCAUCAAACCUCUGACCGGCAGAAGCAAGGGUUAAGGGGCCUCAGCCAUGAACCUAAGAUGGAGAGAGGAAAAGCUGGUCUCCUCCCCUACAAAGCGAUAGAUGAUUAUAAUUUCCACAUGGUGAGGCACCCCUUCUGCCGUGUUUUGCCCUAUUCCCGGAGCCUAGGACACAGCCUUUAUGGAGUGUAGCCUGAUAAUGUAGUUACUGAAUGAAACAAAUCUUCCUGGCACACGUUCUUCACCCCUGAAAACAACAUGGAUGAUGAGUGCAGACUGCAAAACAGCUCACUGGCAAUUGCUCUCAAUUCACUCAAACCCUGCGAAGACUGAUGCCUUGUCAUGAAGACAUAAGAGAGAUAUAAAAGAGCGAAACACCACACAUGAAGCUAAGAACUGUUAGGGAGGAAGAAAAGACGGGAAGAGAGCAACAUACAUCAUCCUAUUACGGAGGCAAGGAAAGGGGAGAAGAGAUAAAGACCAGGAGGGAAACGCGGACGGGAGCUGAUGAGGCAUCACCAUGCAAGAACAUUGCUCCAGAUGGCCGAAGGGAAGGUGCUGGCAUCGCUGCACUCAGGAUUAUUAUCCUAUAACUAGCAAAGCAUAUUUACUAAGGAGAGGCUGGUUUUUCUUCCGUACUAAGAAGGAUAAUUUCAGCUAAUUAAUUUGUUCUGCUGAACUGACAGCCACCGAGGAUGUGUCUGCAUGCCUUAUAAGCAUAUUCUUGGUUCAUUUACUGAGAUCCCACAGAGAAGUUCAAUAUCUAGAGUUAAGCAAAUAAAAAAUAAGUUGUUCUUGUUUCAAGGACCAAGCUCGGGACAUGAAAAGCAUCAAAGUGCUCUAAGCAGGAGGACAAUGACAUGCAACAUCUGAGGCAUUGUUAAGGCCUGGCCUACUCAAUGCAUAUUGUCACACGCCAACCAUUUUCCAGAUACCUAGGUUCAUGCUAAAGGUACAGAUAUCAGCACAGCUCCACCCUGAAAUAAAUCACAGUAUAAUGAGGCAGACACACCCAGAAACAACUCUGACACAGGGCAAAAAGAAAUGAGUUGCUAAACACAAAAUUAAGCUACAUGACAUGGGAAUACAAGGAAGGAAUGCAAACAGGAGAAGGGUGUUCAACACUUUGUGUUUGUGCACAUCUUAUCACUGUGCUAUGCAAAUCUCUACAUUCAUACAGAGCUGCAUACAAACGAGGGUAGGUUGGUGAUAUGAUAAACAAAAUACCAUCCUAGAGAUUGAAAGUAUGGAACUUCCUACAAACAUUGGCCAAGUGGUAUGUGGUAAAUGAGGACAACACUGCAAAUAGCGCCACUGCCUGUGGCCACCCGAUGCAGUGCUCACCCAGGAGGGCUGCUCUGCUGGGGAGCUGCAGGAUGGCACCAAUAGCUCUGCUUCGAGCCCAGGUCAAUAAUAAGAAGAGGGGUUGCCAUUUCCAGCAAGAGGUUGCAAACAUCAUUUCUCUGGGCUCCAAUUGUCUGAUGGUGCCCUGUUCUACAGAAGGGUCAACUAUACAACAGACAGGUGUGUGUAAAGCUGGAUGCUUAAGAAAUGUGACAAGGUUAGAGGGAAAACAUGCUCCAAAGCAAAGUUUCAGUGUGGUAAUUGAAGAUGAACAUGGGGUCAUUUUAAAACCAUGUCUGAAUCCCAACAGAGCAUGUUCCGACAUGGUUCAGCUUGACUGCUUUAUGUAAACAUGAAAAUGCCAUCGCCUGGCAAAACAAACUUCUCCCAGGAGAGCCUGUUCUCUCAACACAACAAGAGGAAAGGGAUAGUGGAAGCAGGAGAGUUGAGACCAUGAAGUCAUGAAGUUCAAGAAUGCCUUCCUUUGAAGGUUUAAUACAGAAAAGCUUUCGGGGGAAGGAGGAGAGUUUAAAGAAGUCCUGGUUCUCCGGCAUCCACAGUAAUACCUUUGCCUUGAAGGAGAAAGAUGGCCUUGGCUAUCAAGAAUGGGGAGAAAAGGCAGAAGCUACCACCCAAAAUUUUCAGAGCACCAACCAAAUCAAAGGAAAUAAAUACUAAUGGGUGAAGUAGAGUUUAAAAAUAACACAAGUAAUGUACACUCUCCCCUUACUAUUGUUUUUAAUUUUUAAUUUUUUAAUUGACAGUUUGUACAUAUUUAUAGGAUACAAUUUGAUAUUUUGAUACAUAUGUAUGUUGUAAAAUGAUCAAAUCAGGGCACUUAGUGUGUCCAUGAUCUCAUGCAUUUAUCAUUUAUUUGUAGUGAGAAUAUUCCAAAGCCUCUUAUCUAGCUAUUUUGUAAGGUACACUAUCAUCUUACUGUCAACCACAGUCACUCCACUGUAUAACAGAACAUCAAAACAUAUUCCUCUUAUCUAAUUGUAACUUUGUAUUUGCUGUUGCUAGUUCUAUCAUUUUAACAGAGAGAGAAAUAAACUUCCAGCUACAACAAUCAUGGAAUCACAGCUCUAUGUCUCCCACCUAAAAAUAUUUCCUACACAAAAUGCAAGGUAGACGUAGGUUUCAAAACUUAUCUGCACUCUAUUUUAUGAUCUUUGUUUUCAUUUUCAUAUAUGUGAGCAUAUUUCUAUUAUGUUAUUAAAAUGUGGUAGUAAUUGCUGCAUGGUAUUUAUUCCAAACUCCAAAACCUUCAAAUCCUGUAUCACUGAACAAACUGUUUCAAAUUUCCCAUUAAUCUUAUGUUAAAAAUAAAC
rnacentral:lncRNA from 1 species